rnacentral:rRNA from 1 species
AUUGAACGCUGGCGGCAUGCCUUACACAUGCAAGUCGAACGGCAGCACGGGUGCUUGCACCUGGUGGCGAGUGGCGAACGGGUGAGUAAUACAUCGGAACGUACCUUAUCGUGGGGGAUAACGCAGCGAAAGUUGCGCUAAUACCGCAUACGCCCUGAGGGGGAAAGCGGGGGACCGUAAGGCCUCGCGCGAUUAGAGCGGCCGAUGUCUGAUUAGCUUGUUGGUGAGGUAAAAGCUCACCAAGGCGAUGAUCAGUAGCUGGUCUGAGAGGACGAUCAGCAACACUGGGACUGAGACACGGCCCAGACUCGUACGGGAGGCAGCAGUGGGGAAUUUUGGACAAUGGGGGCAACCCUGAUCCAGCAAUGCCGCGUGAGUGAAGAAGGCCUUCGGGUUGUAAAGCUCCUUUGUCAGGGAAGAAACAGCAGCUCUAACACAGUCUGCGAAUGACGGUACCUGAAGAAUAAGCACCGGCUAACUACGUGCCAGCAGCCGCCGUAA